rnacentral:rRNA from 1 species
GACGUAGGGCGCGAGCGUUGUCCGGAUUUCUUGGGCGUAAAGAGCUCGUAGGCGGCUUGUCGCGUCGACUGUGAAAACCCGCGGCUCAACUGCGGGCCUGCAGCCGAUACGGGCAGGCUAGAGUUCGGUAGGGGAGACUGGAAUUCCUGGUGUAGCGGUGAAAUGCGCAGAUAUCAGGAAGAACACCUAUGGCGAAGGCAGCUCUCUGGGACGGUACUGACGCUGAGACGCGAAAGCGUGGGGAGCGAACAGG